CCUCUCCAUUAUUUUCCAUCCUCUCAUCAGCAAAGUCCAACCAACCAGCUGUAAUUGGUCAUAUAUAUAUAAUUUGUAACGAUAAUCGGAAAACCUUAAAAAAAACUAUGGGUUUCACUAUUAUACUAAAUUAUACAAAGUUAGAUUGCCUCACUGCUUUUUCUCUUUUCCUUUAUUAUUGUAGCUGCCACAUAAACGGAAAAAAUGAAAGUGAAACAUCACGGGUGUGAUGAGGAAAUGACUGUGUAGCAUUCCUUAACCGUCCAUUAUUUCCAGUCAUCUCUUCAGGAAGUCUAAACAACCAGCUAUAUUUGAUCAUAUAUAUAUUUUGUAACAUUCAUCGGGAAACCUUAAAAGCUAUGUCUUUAACAGUAAACUGGAUCACACUGGGUUUGGGGAAAAUUGCCAUCACAGUGGGAACAGCGACAGCCUCCACAACUGCUGUGGUGGGACUUGGGCUCAUAGCGGCUGCAGGUGUAGUUGGCUAUUGCGUCUACCAAAAAUCCAAAGGGAACCAAAAGGCUCAUAAGACGGCAUGAUGUGACCCCGCCCCCUACUGGAUGCUCCCAGAUAUCAUGACAGACAUAGAUAUUCAGUUAGGGAUUUUAGAGGCUGUUUACUGAUUUGAGAAAAUGUAAGAAUAAAAUCAGUGAUCACA